rnacentral:rRNA from 1 species
AAUCAACGCUGGCGGCGUGCCUCAGACAUGCAAGUCGAACGAUUAAAGCUCUCUUCGGAGAGUGUAUAGAGUGGCGCACGGGUGAGUAACACGUAAGUAAUCUACCCUCGAGUGGGGAAUAACGUCCGAAAACGGACGCUAAUACCGCAUAAUGCAGCGGCACCGCAAGGUGACAGUUGUUAAAGAUUUAUCGCUUGAGGAGGAGCUUGCGGCAGAUUAGCUAGUUGGUAAGGUAAUGGCUUACCAAGGCUACGAUCUGUAACCGGUCUAAGAGGACGGUCGGUCACACUGACACUGAAUAACGGGUCAGACUCCUACGGGAGGCAGCAGUCGGGAAUUUUGGGCAAUGGGCGAAAGCCUGACCCAGCAACGCCGCGUGAAGGAUGAAGUAUUUCGGUAUGUAAACUUCGAAAGAAUAGGAAGAAUUAAUGACGGUACUAUUUAUAAGGUCCGGCUAACUACGUGCCAGCCGCCGCCGUAAGAC